CCGUGGUGGCGAACUGGCGACUUGCCCGGCGGCGGCUCCUCUCCAUCCGCCCCCACUCUCGCCCUCCGCCUUCCCCAACAGAAGACACCACGCGAUGGAGAUGGCGGUGGCUGCACUCACGCUCCUGUUCCUCAGCCAUCUGAGUGGCCUUCUUGGAUUGAUUGUCUGGUGGCGGCGUGGUGUUAUUGGUUUGCUCAGCAUUCGCCAUCAUUUCAUCAAUUCGCAGCAGUGGCCAUCGGUUCGGCCCUUCUGCUCCUGCGAAUCUGUGGAUCAAUUGAUACGCAGGAUUAAAACAAUUUUAAGUUUAGUCAGGAUCCAGCCCACGCGCAUGAUCUAGCCGAGGCGGGGGCCGCUCGAUCCAAUUCGACGCGGGGGCAAUCCAUCGCAGCAAGGGGGAAAUGGAGGGAUGCGGGUGAUGCAAGCCGAGUGAUCGAAACUGCUCUGCUCAUAUUUGAAGGCCGCAAUCAUUAUACGGUUACUCUGCACAAAUUCAUGGCAGGGGAUGUCCUAUCCUUUCCGCUGCCUCACGGUACAAUGUGGGGCUCGCCAAUCGAUGCGGAGAAGAUCUCACCGGCCGAUGCAAGGAAGUUCAUCCGCCGCUUUUCAAGCGAGGAGUAAAGUGCUCGCUUGUUUUGUAUAUAUCAAUUAAUGGCAGUCGAGGGAGUGAUGGUGACGGAUGGUGGAGGUUAUGGUAUAUUGUUUGGGGACUAUUCAAGGCUGGUUCUGGAAUUUUAUUGGAAGAGAUAUUGAUGGGUUGACUAUUUGCAAUGGCAAUCAGGUCUUUUACUAUUAGGCCAACAAGAAGCGCAGGCUGCACGCCGCGAGCACUGAGCGCAGUCGAUGAGCUCGCCGCCUGUUGAAACUCCGUUGCUGAACAUGUAUGGUGACCUUAAUAUAUAUCUCACAAACUACAUCAUGAUUGGUCUCCGCCCUUGGAAGCCCUUGGGAAGUCAUCACACGAGGCAUCUCAUCUAUCCUUAGCAUCAGCAUAGCAAGGACGAUGAAGUGGGUUUGAGCCAAGACCUCUAAUGAUGUUUCUAAUUCUCUUUCUUCAAGUGCCUUCAUCUGGUGGACAUAAGUAGUCUUAGUAUUGUACCUGGUAUUGAUAUCCAGUUUCAGUGCUUUAGCAUUUUUGUUUCAAACAUUUUGAAAUGACUUAUAAAACACAGAACGCCCUCAAGAAACAUG